rnacentral:pre_miRNA from 1 species
UCUUGUAGAUGAGCAAAACACGUGGUUUCUUGAGAUGGAAUCUACGCCUGGUGAAGAUGCUGUGAG